rnacentral:lncRNA from 1 species
UCAUACAGGUUAGGUUUUCCUACCCUGAAGGAAUACUUAUAUCCAAUACUAUAGGAAAGAGAUUGAUUCUCUCCCUAUAAAUCCCUCUUGGCUACGAGGGUGAAGCUCUUUAUCUCAUUUAAGUCUUUGUGAUUUCUGUUAUAAGCUUUAUCUUCUUAGCCUCAAUUCUCCUCUAUAAGGCAAGUUGAUCCUUGGUCUUUUUUUUGAAGAUAUUAUUGUAAGAUGUCAUCAUGAGAAGUUGUCUCAAGGCAAGUCAAUUCUUGAGUGUCUCAAAUUCCAUAUGCAUCAGCUCUUCAGCACCUCAUUCUUCUAUCUUUGUAGGUCAGGAUGUCUUUCAUUUCUCUCAUAAGCUGAUCCAAAUCUCAUGAUCAUCAAAUGGCCGAGAAGGUUGGUGCUUCAUCCUUAGACAGCCCAUGAGUAGAGAAAGUUCUGACCUAUUAACUAUUGAACUUCCCUUAUCAAUGGAGGUGGAGGAGGCCCAUGUUAAACUUUUUUAGAGCUUAAAAUGUCUUGGCCAAAGUUGCUAGUUACAAAUUGGCCAUUCUGCUUUUCACUAUUAUGUCAUCCACGUAAGCUUCAACAUUUCUCCUAUAUGAUGCUCGAACAUCUUGUUCACCAUAAUUUGAUAUGUUGCUUCAAUAUUUUUUAACAUGAAGUGCAUGACUUGGAAGCAAUAUAUGCCUUAGUCCAUGAUGAAC